GGAGAAAUAUUUUUUGGUGCGUUUCUCAGUUAUUCCGUGCCAUUUGCUACGAACGGUCUGCCGAUUCCUGCAAGUACCCAAACUCAAACAACAACAAAAACAACAACAACAACAAAAUGAAUGAAGCAAGAAGUUUGUUUACCACCUUCUUAAUCCUGGCCUUCUUGCUCUUCUUGCUCUAUGCCUUCUACGAAGCCGCCUUCUAAAUUAUGAUUCGAGUUUACUAGUUCAAGGAUAUAUGCUUACAUGUUGAAUUUUGAAUUCCAACAACAACAUUUUCAAACAUGAUACAAAUAAAAACCAAUUUACUUACCGACUAGGAUUAAGUCGCUAGCAUUUAAUGGAUUUCUAUUAGUACCCUAAGUCAGAUGACGUCAAAGCUGCAGGCAAUAAGAGCAGCUGCCCGGUUCCAUUUGGGGGCUCCGCGAUUGCCAGAGGAAAUGUGUGUUCCGUCAUUCGUGCAAUCCAAUUGGAACGUUUGGGACACUCACAACUUUUAUAGCCUGCCAGGCCUUGCCGUCAUCUGCUCUAAUCAUAAAUAUUAACAGGCAAAAAUUUUGUUUCUCAAUGGAAUUUAUUCAAUUAAUUAUUAAUUGACCAUAAUGUACAGUAUAAGUGUUUAUAGCAACAACAACAACGGCAGCAGCAAUACGAACAGCAAAGACAACAACAACAGCUCACGGCGCACAUAGGAAAAUUAUGAAUUUCAUUGUUUAACACUUUGCACAUAAUAUGUAAGAUCUUUAUUUAGUUCGAUUUGCAUUUUUUCGUAAAUAACAACAAGACCAACAGCUGCAUAAGCA
rnacentral:sRNA from 1 species